CCCGACUGCUAUUUGGGUGAGAAUAAGCCAUGCGAGUUGAAUGGGAUACCUAAAGUUCCCAUAGCAAACUGCUCAGUAACACAUGAUCAACUUACCCUAUAGAGAAAAAUAACCUCGGGAAACUGAGGAUAAUGUUUCAUAAUUGAAUUGGCUUGGAAAAGUUUUUCAAUGAAAGGGAUAAAAAAAAUGGUUUUUAUCUGCUAUAGGAUAGGAUCGUGUUCGAUUAUGGUUGUUGGUGAGAUAAUGGCUCACCAAGCCGAUAAUCGAUAGGGGCCGUGAGAGCGGGAGCCCGGAGAUGGAUUCUGAGACACGAAUCCAGGCCCUACGGGGUGCAGCAGGCGCGAAACCUUUACAAUGUGCGAAAGCAUGAUAAGGGAACUCCGAGUGCCAGCAUCUAAUGUUGGCUGUCCUUGUGCCUAAAACGCACAAGACAGCAAGGGCCGGGUAAGACCGGUGCCAGCCGCCGCGGUAACACCGGCGGCCCGAGUGGUAGCCGCUAUUAUUGGGUCUAAAGGGUCCGUAGCCGGUUCGAUAAGUCCUCUGGGAAAUCUGGUUGCUUAACAAUCAGACUGCCAAGGGAUACUGUCGAACUUGAGACCGGGAGAGGUAAGAGGUACUUCAGGGGUAGGAGUGAAAUCUUGUAAUCCCUGGGGGACCAUCUGUGGCGAAGGCGUCUUACCAGAACGGGUCUGACGGUGAGGGACGAAAGCUGGGGGCGCAAACCGGAUUAGAUACCCGGGUAGUCCCAGCCGUAAACGAUGCUCGCUAUGUGUCAGGUACGGUGUGACCGUAUCUGGUGCCGUAGGGAAGCCGUGAAGCGAGCCACCUGGGAAGUACGGCCGCAAGGCUGAAACUUAAAGGAAUUGGCGGGGGAGCACUACAACGGGUGGAGCCUGCGGUUU
rnacentral:rRNA from 1 species